AGCAUCAAGGUCUUUUCAAAUGAGUCAGCUCUUUGCAUCAGGUGGCCAAAGUAUUGGAGUUUCAGCUUCAACAUCAGUCCUUCCAAUGAACAUACAGGACUGAAUCUUCUCCUUAUUAUAGUGAAAUUACUGCUGUUUCCAGUAAUGAGUGGAAGUGAAAGCAAUGGAACAGAGCAGUAUGCAGUGGUUCAUCAGAAAUCAAAGCACAGAGCUCCCAGAUCCUAUAUUUGAAGAGCCAUUUAAGACGUCCAGUGUUAUUCUGCCAAUAUAAAGAAACACUCGUA